rnacentral:rRNA from 1 species
UACAGAGGGUGCGAGCGUUGUCCGGAAUCACUGGGCGUAAAGGGCGCGUAGGUGGCCCGACAAGUCACUGGUGAAAGCUCGACGCUCAACGUCGAGUCGGCCAGUGAUACUGUUGGGCUGGAGCACUGUAGAGGCUCAUGGAAUUCCGGGUGUAGCGGUGGAAUGCGUAGAGAUCCGGAAGAACACCGGUGGCGAAGGCGGUGAGCUGGGCAGUAGCUGACACUGGGGCGCGACAGCGUGGGGAGCAAACAGG